rnacentral:rRNA from 1 species
ACGCUCGACACCUACGGGAGGCAGCAGUGGGGAAUAUUGCACAAUGGGGGAAACCCUGAUGCAGCGACGCCGCGUGAGUGAAGAAGUAUUUCGGUAUGUAAAGCUCUAUCAGCAGGGAAGAAAAUGACGGUACCUGACUAAGAAGCCCCGGCUAACUACGUGCUAGCAGCCGCGGUAAUCUGAGCGGGCUGGCAAGGC